AAAUGAAAUAAAACCCAACCAGGCAAAGACACCAAUAACAACCUGCGUCUCACCAGUGCUGCAGGAAUGCUUAGGUAUUUAAGAGCAAAUUUUGUGUGUACAGAACUCAGAAAGGGCUACUGACUUAACAUUGCACUUAAACUGACACAGGA